rnacentral:rRNA from 1 species
GCUCAGAACGAACGCUGGCGGCAGGCCUAACACAUGCAAGUCGAGCGCACCUUCGGGUGAGCGGCGGACGGGUUAGUAACGCGUGGGAACGUGCCCUUCUCUAAGGAAUAGCCUCUGGAAACGGAGAGUAAUACCUUAUACGCCCUUCGGGGGAAAGAUUUAUCGGAGAAGGAUCGGCCCGCGUUAGAUUAGAUAGUUGGUGGGGUAAUGGCCUACCAAGUCUACGAUCUAUAGCUGGUUUUAGAGGAUGAUCAGCAACACUGGGACUGAGACACGGCCCAGACUCCUACGGGAGGCAGCAGUGGGGAAUCUUAGACAAUGGGCGAAAGCCUGAUCUAGCCAUGCCGCGUGAGUGACGAAGGCCUUAGGGUCGUAAAGCUCUUUCGCCAGGGAUGAUAAUGACAGUACCUGGUAAAGAAACCCCGGCUAACUCCGUGCCAGCAGCCGCGGUAAUACGGAGGGGGUUAGCGUUGUUCGGAAUUACUGGGCGUAAAGCGUACGUAGGCGGAUUAGAAAGUUGGGGGUGAAAUCCCAGGGCUCAACCCUGGAACUGCCCUCAAAACUACUAGUCUUGAGUUCGAGAGAGGUGAGUGGAACUCCGAGUGUAGAGGUGAAAUUCGUAGAUAUUCGGAAGAACACCAGUGGCGAAGGCGGCUCACUGGCUCGAUACUGACGCUGAGGUACGAAAGUGUGGGGAGCAAACAGGAUUAGAUACCCUGGUAGUCCACACCGUAAACGAUGAAUGCCAGUCGUCGGGUUGCAUGCAAUUCGGUGACACACCUAACGGAUUAAGCAUUCCGCCUGGGG